rnacentral:rRNA from 1 species
GACGUAGGGUGCGAGCGUUUGUCCGGAUUUAUUGGGGCGUAAAGAGCUCGUAGGCGGCUCGUCGCGUCGUCCGUGAAAACCCGCGGCUUAACCGCGGGCUUGCGGUUGAUACGGGCGGGCUAGAGUUCGGUAGGGGAGACUGGAAUUCCUGGUGUAGCGGUGAAAUGCGCAGAUAUCAGGAGGAACACCGGUGGCGAAGGCGGGUCUCUGGGCCGAUACUGACGCUGAGGAGCGAAAGCGUGGGGAGCGAACAGG